AUGUGGCCAGGUGCACUUCAGGUGGAUCUUGCAAUUAUGGUGGCGAGCAGUUCCUGGUUAACCACACAUCCAGUCUGUCGGGCGGUGCUAUUCUUGUCUGCAGCAGGUGAAGCACGCAAGAUUCGGGAUCCUCUCCACGUCCUCUCAACGCUCGCAUGCUUCUCUUCACGGAGUGAUGCCAUGGCUGCUGAUCCUCGACCUCGGACCGCAUCCAUAUCGGCCGCGAUGGCGGCUGCCUCUCUUGCCAUGCCAUGCGUCGCCUCCCGGCCCCCCGCUGCUUCAGCACCCGCCACCGCUCUCUCCGCGGCCGCCCUCGCCUCCCGCCGCUCCGACCCAGCCAUUCAUGGGAGGAGGGUGUCCCGCGUGCUCCUCACCAAGGAGGCGACGACGUCCACGACCUCAACCGCGCCCAUCGCUCCGGCUCCACUUGCUGCUGCCGCCUCCAACCUACCACCGACGGCACCGGCAGCGCUCUACUCCGGCUCGUCCCCGGCCCCGGGAGAGCCCCACUCCGACUCGUCGCCUGCAGCGACCCGGCCUGUGUCCUGGGCCUCCCUCGCCAGCGAGGACAAUGAGGAUUACGAAGAAGAGUUGGCUCCGCUGACGCUGCCGGCUUCCAAAAGCCCGGUCUCGGCUGCUGACCCGACUGUUCCAUGCGUUGGGCACGAGGAGGAGACGAGUGGUGGAUGGCAUGAGGUACUGCAUCAGUGCGGUCGGCGUUGUCAGGCGUCACCAACAUCGUCAUUUGCUCCUCAUCCCAUCCCUGCCUGGCUCCACGGUCGAUGUUGUCGAUGCCUUGCACCUGGACACCGUGCAGUAGUUUGCAAAGAUCCCUUGAGAUGCUCACGUUGCUUGGAGAAUGGACAUUGGGCGCGCGGGUGCCGCAAUCCUUGGCGUCCGCUCAGCUCUUUGGCAUGCCUUGUCGCGCCACCACUGUCUCGCCUCAGCACCGAGCAUUGUCGAGCUCCAGCUUCUUGUGGGGAUCCGAUGAAAUCCACUCUCCCCUACAAAGCGCUUCAUCGAGGGUCCUGGGCGUCGAUUGUACCUGAUGAUGUUGGCUCGGCACCCCCAACCAAUGUGCUACUGCAAUCCACUUUAGCAACUCAGGCCAAGUUGCUGAUGCGUGUUGGGAGCUUUCUGGAGCGGGCGGAGGCGGCCCUGGACAAGCCCUCUCUUGUGUCGGCUAACAGGGAUGAAGAGCUCUAUGGUUGUUUCUCCCCUCGAAUUGGGGACAACUUGUCGUUGAUAUCUGCUGCUGUAAGCAAGGACAUCGCCGUGGUUGCCGCCCCUGUGUUGCAGAUUAUGCUCGAGCUUCAACAACUAUGUGUGAGACCUGCUUCACCUCAGCCUUUGGAGCAUGUGGAGGUCGUCUCGCUGGUGACCCCUGUUGAGGGGCAGGAUUCACCUAGCCGCGCGCGGUGGCCUUCGCGUGGUCUAAGCUGGCACGCCUGCAGCCAGUGGUGGAUAGCUCACGACCCUGCUGCUCUUCAUCCUGUCGGUCUUCUCGCCGUCGGCGUCGUUAAAUACGUCAAUGUUCUUGACCUCGAGCUCUCUGGCGCCUUGAACCCAUCCAACUCGCCACAGUUGCUACCACAACAGGACCUGCCCAGGCGUGCUCUUGCUUCACAGGUCUUCCCUGUUGGCCCUCCCCUUGGCCCCAUAUUUGUCCUCGAUUCGCCUCUGCUCGACGAAGGACGGCAGCAGCCUCGACCAAGGACUGUAGAGGAUCUACCAGCCCCGGUAAGGACGUAUGAGGAUGGUGGCGCCGUGAUGUGGGACGAGGAUCAAGGGCCGGGCACCUACGAGGAUGGAUGGGAUCGACUUGCUGUCGAGGAAAGACGAGAUCAAAUAGCAGUUAUCUUUUCGGAGGGACGGAUCGACCCCACUUCUUUCUUGUACGCGUGGAUGGGGCUGAACAUUCAAAUUGUUUCAUAUAAUCUUCCCUAUGAUGACUUCAGGCUGCAUGGCUCCACUGUGUACUCUGUUUUGCAAAGAUUCCAUAGGCAGGAUAACGUCCCUGAGUAUAUAAACCUGUUAGCUUUCCUUAAUUGUUUAGAGAAAGAUAAUAGUGAUUGCGUUGGCACUGCUCAUGCCAUCCUAUCUUACAUGAUUUUGUUGGAUGGUUCAGUUAUUGUGAUUUCUCAAGUUAGGCAUGAAGAUGGUUCUAGGUGGGCUACUGAAACAACGGCAAUAUUCCAAGAAGGCUAA
rnacentral:rRNA from 1 species